rnacentral:rRNA from 1 species
UUGCCAGCAUGUCCUCCGGGAUGAUGGGGACACUGUUGGGACCGCCUCUGCUAAAGAGGAGGAAGGAAUGGGCAACGGUAGGUCAGCAUGCCCCGAAUUAUCCGGGCUACACGCGGGCUACAAUGGUCAGGACAAUGGGUAUCGACACCGAGAGGUGGAGGCAAUCUCCUAAACCUGUCCUUAGUUCGGAUUGUGGGCUGCAACUCGCCCACAUGAAGCUGGAAUCCGUAGUAAUCGCGUUUCAAAAUAGCGCGGUGAAUAUGUCCCUGCUCCUU